CUUAACGCGUAGUCAAAAUGGUAGAUAUAUUGAACGGUAAUUGUCAUUCUUCGUUGAAAAUUGAAUGCAUUUUCUCCAGUUUCAUUCCAAAUUAAUAAAAUUCUCCAUGAGAUGCGACGAUGGAGAGUUCAUUCGGAAAGGUAAAAUUUGGAAUGGCUACUAAACCAAGCAAAGCUAAACAAAGAUAUAUUGCUCGAGACUAUAAAGGGAUGUCAAAAGAUGAUCUACGUCAGGAAUUGCGGAAACGUGGUAUAAAGAUUAGCGGUAAAAAGGCUGAUUUGGCAUUCCUUUUUGAUGUCUUAUAAUGAGUAUUGGGACUAAUCUAAUGCUGGUUUACUUUGCAGACUAUUUUUUUUUUUUUUUUUUUUGAAUUCUGCGUCGCUGACUGCUGAUAAUAAUUCUGCUGCUGGGCCCGGGUCUUUCAUUUAUAUUUAUAUAGGUAAUAGUAAAAUGACAGGAGUAAAGUAUAUAAUCAUUUUAAGACAUUUAAAGAAUAUGGUACAUCUUCAAUAAGUUCCAGAAUACCAAUUUCAAUUUUGUUUCACUUUGACAAAUACUGGAAAAUGGCUUCUCAAUCUCCCCAAAAUGUUAUCUUUUUCUGAAGUAGCUAGUCAAGCAAACCUAUUUUUCUCUUGUGGCUUCAUAGAAUUGGUUUGCCUUUUUCAACUUCUUACUGAAAUGUGCUUUUGGUGCUUCAUGUUUUUUUUCUCUGUUACAAGAUCCUUUACAGAAAAAGGUCCCCUAAAAAGGAUCCCAUCAUUUGGUCUUCGAGAAAACUGCUGCAUGAACUGAACAUCAAUUGUUCUCAAAAACUAAAUGGUGGUCUCCAGCUAUAAGGUGGGGAAAGAAAAAAAAAUCAAGUCAAAAAGUUCAGAAUAAAGGUUUAUCUUAAACUUUUGUUAGUAUCAAAAUAAAACAAUCAAUGCAAUGCCUACUGUGUUGAUCCCCCCCCCCCCCCCACAUGUAGUACAUAUCUUCGCCUCAGAGCAACACUAAGACAUCUAAUCCCAGGAAUAACACUAAGAGCCGCUCUGAAGAGAUGAUAUUCUAUUUCAGAUUCUUUUUCUUUUUUUUUUUUUUUUUAAAUUUUGUGUAGCUCUGUAAACUCGAUUUUCAUCAGCUAAUGAACUCCACUACCUCUGCAUCUUCAUUUGAAAAAAUUUGCAUGCUAUGCUGCUGUAGGCAGUUUGUUUCUAAGGUUAUUUUGGAGCUGUUUAAUUUAUUAGACAGGUAAAAAUGGAAUAAAAUUAGAAGAAGAAAAAAGUGUACUCUUUCGU